rnacentral:rRNA from 1 species
CAGUGGGCGGGCUGCGAGUCGGGGAUGUGCGUGGGGGGCAGGCGUAGUGCUGUGUCAAUGGGCGUAGAGAGCUCGUAGGCGGUUUGGCAAGUCAGGUGUGAAAUCUCCGGGCUCAACUCGUAUAGGCCACCUGAUACUGCUAUUUCUUGAGGCCGGUAGGGGACCAUGGAAUUGCUGGUGUAGCGGUGAAAUGCGCAGAUAUCAGGAGGAACACCGGUGGCGAAGGCGGUGGUCUGGGCCGGCACUGACGCUGAGGAGCGAAAGCGUGGGGAGCGAACAGGAUUAGAUACCCCGGUAGUC